AUGACAGGUCCAUAUCUAAACCAACAUUCAGGUAUCGAAAAACAGCCCAUGCCCAUAGACAAACCAAUCGAAACAGUUCAGUCAAACAUAAACCAUCUACAUUAUGCAAUGCCAUGCAUUUCAAGUCAUACAUUUACAAAUUUCAUCUCAGUAAACCAGUUUCGAUGCAAAAAACCAAAGUACACAACAUCUCAUUCACUUGGCAAAGGUACAUCAGCCCAUUCAUCUAUUUCAAGACAUAAAACCCAAACACAUAUUACAAAGCCAUAA